CAACUAGAUUUUAUCCCGCGGUA
rnacentral:siRNA from 1 species